UACGUAGGGGGCUAGCGUUGUCCGGAUUUAUUGGGCGUAAAGAGCGUGUAGGCGGCCAUGUAGGUCCGGUGUGAAAACUCGAGGCUUAACCUCGAGAUGUCAUCGGAAACCAUUUGGCUAGAGUCCGGAAGAGGAGAGUGGAAUUCCUGGUGUAGCGGUGAAAUGCGCAGAUAUCAGGAAGAACACCAAUGGCGAAAGCAGCUCUCUGGGACGGUACUGACGCUGAGACGCGAAAGCGUGGGGGAGCGAACAGG
rnacentral:rRNA from 1 species